UUACGGGAGGCAGCAGUGGGGAAUCUUCCGCAAUGGACGAAAGUCUGACGGAGCAACGCCGCGUGAGUGACGAAGGUCUUCGGAUUGUAAAACUCUGUCUUUUGGGAAGAACGGCUCAUAUGUGAAUAAUGUAUGGGAUUGACGGUACCAAAGGAGGAAGCCCCGGCUAACUACGUGCCAGCAGCCGCGGUAAUACGUAGGGGGCGAGCGUUGUCCGGAAUUAUUGGGCGUAAAGAGCGCGCAGGCGGUUUGUUAAGUCUACCGUGAAAGCUUACGGCUCAACCGUAACGGGUCGGUGGAUACUGGCAGACUUGAGGGCAGGAGAGGAAAGUGGAAUUCCCAGUGUAGCGGUGAAAUGCGUAGAGAUUGGGAGGAACACCAGUGGCGAAGGCGACUUUCUGGACUGCAACUGACGCUGAGGCGCGAAAGCUGGGGGAGUGAACGGGAUUAGAUACCCCGGUAGC
rnacentral:rRNA from 1 species